GUAGGUGGCGAGCGUUGUCCGGAUUUACUGGGCGUAAAGAGCGCGCAGGCGGUCGUUCAAGUCGCGUGUGAAAGCCCCCGGCUCAACUGGGGAGGGUCACGCGAUACUGAUCGACUCGAAGGCAGGAGAGGGAAGUGGAAUUCCCGGUGUAGUGGUGAAAUGCGUAGAUAUCGGGAGGAACACCAGUGGCGAAGGCGACUUCCUGGCCUGUUCUUGACGCUGAGGCGCGAAAGCUAGGGGAGCAAACGGGAUUAGAUACCCCGGUAGUCCUAGCCGUAAACGAUGGACACUAGGUGUUGGUGGUAUCAACCCCGCCAGUGCCGAAGCUAACGCAUUAAGUGUCCCGCCUGGGGAGUACGGCCGCAAGGCUA
rnacentral:rRNA from 1 species